CCCCUAGGUUGAUGUUCAUCAGAUGCUUGAGAACCUCUUGCACCAUUAUAAUUUCCAGACAUUACAUGUUGAACUCUGGCUAGAACUGGAUAAAAUAAUCCCAUUGAACUGCGAGAUGAAUCAGAAGGUGAGUGCCUGGCAGCAGCAGGUAUUGCAGCGACCACUGUCCUAAUGGGCACAACCCGUACUUCAGCCUCCCUGGUUGAAGAUGAACUCCUAGAGGCUCCCGCAGCAGGUUGGUGAAUGGAAUUAACACCACCAGAAAGUGCUGGGCUUGUUUGCCCUUGGGAUGUCUGACCACCAGCAGGUUCCCUUUGGUUAAUAACAGACGGGGGCAUCAUUGAAC
rnacentral:lncRNA from 1 species